UUUUCAAGUUUCUUCAAGUGCAGUCGCAAAACCCAUCAAACGCUAUGAUGUAACUGGCUCUCAUGAGGACCUCCACAGGAAAGGUAGACCCAGAGUUACCUCUGCUGCUGCAGAUGAUAAAUUCAUUAGAUUUACCAGCCUCAUAUUGCAGCCCAAAUAAAUGCUUCACAGAGUAACAGACACAUCUCAACAUCAACUGUUCAGAGGAGACUGCGUAAAUCAGGCCGUCAUGGUCAAAUUGCUGCAAAGAAACCACUACUAAAGGACAGCAAUAAGAAGAAGACACUUGAUUGAGCCAAGAAACACGAGCAAUGGACAUUAGACUGGUGUAAAUAUGUCCUUUGGUCUGUGGAGUCCAAAUUAGAUUUUUGGUUCCAACCUCUGUCUUUGUGAGAUGCAGAGUAGGUGAAUGGAUGAUCUGCGCUCUCUGGUUCCCACCGUGAAGCAUGGAUGUAUCAGGAAUUAAGUUUUACUGUGAAUGGUCCUUGCGCACCAAGAGAAAGUGUCAAGGGAAGCCAGGUUGGAUUUUGCUUCACACCAAUCACAGCCACCGGAGGACAACAACAACACAACAGGAGGGGCUAACCUACAAUGGGAAUGAAAAAUAGUUCUGUCAAUGACGUUUUGCUCUCAAAAAAAUCUAAACUUAAUUGACAGAAAAAAUAGAUAUGUUGCAUCUCAUUGUGUUGUUCUGAAAUAUUAUAUGAAGCAAUCUCUUGUGUAAUGGUACUUAUAAUGGACUUGUGUUGACUUUAAUGAGUGAGUUAUUAUGGAUUGCCUCUGAUCCGCUUGUUGUCCCCUUAUGCCAUAGCUUUUACAUCUGAAUUGUCAGUAGAAACCAUAUUUGUUUAACGAAGUCAGCCAUAUCUUCUUCUGACUUGCCUUAAAAUUAAAGGCAGUAAAUGAGGUGAAAUGAUGUUACGUUCGUUGAUGGAAGGAUCGGACCAAAGUGCAGCUUGGAAGGCGUACAUUUAAAUUUAUUACAUGAACGCCAAAAAGAAAACAAUAAAUACAAAACUAAACGUCUAGUAGGGCUAAACAGCACAGUAACAAAAACAAGAUCCCAUAAACUACAGGUGGAAAAAGGCUGCCUAAGUAUGAUCCCCAAUCAGAGACAACGAUAGACAGCUGCCUCUGAUUGGGAACCAUCCUCGGCCAACAAAGAAAUAGAAAACAUAGAUUGCCCACCCUAGUCACACCCUGACCUAACCAAAUAGAGAAUUAAAAGGAUCUCUAAGGUCAGGGCGUGACAAAUGAACUGUUUCACUGCCGGACAAGGCUCCACUAAUAGCCAGGUAUGGCAGUGGUAAGGUGUUGGGACAGCUUUAUGUAGGCCUUAACAGUUUGUGGGCACCGUUUGUCACUGUUAUAGUGCAAUGUAUUGUUUAGUGUUGUGUAGUCGCUUUACACCCCCAAAUGUUUUUUGUUGUUGUUGCCCCACUAAGAUUGACAUGCUAAAAUAGCCACUUGCAGAGACACACGCCGAGCUGGAGAAAUAUGGUACCAGACCCCUGAGGCUGUAGUUCAUGAUCGAUAAAGUGACUGCAUUCACCCAGGAUGCCAUCAACCUGAGCACUGGGGAGGAGCUGAAGAGCGUAGUUCAUCUCAAUGUCUUCUCUACGCAGAACAGGGUUUGGGAAAUGGAAGUUACACCUGGAUCGC